AACGAACGCUGGCGGCAUGCCUAACACAUGCAAGUCGAACGAGACCUUCGGGUCUAGUGGCGCACGGGUGCGUAACGCGUGGGAACCUGCCCUUAGGUUCGGAAUAACUCCCCGAAAGGGGUGCUAAUACCGGAUAAUGUCUUCGGACCAAAGAUCUAUCGCCUUUGGAUGGGCCCGCGUUGGAUUAGCUAGUUGGUAGGGUAAAAGCCUACCAAGGCGACGAUCCAUAGCUGGUCUGAGAGGAUGAUCAGCCACACUGGGACUGAGACACGGCCCAGACUCCUACGGGAGGCAGCAGUGGGGAAUAUUGGACAAUGGGCGAAAGCCUGAUCCAGCAAUGCCGCGUGAGUGAUGAAGGCCCUAGGGUUGUAAAGCUCUUUUACCCGGGAUGAUAAUGACAGUACCGGGAGAAUAAGCUCCGGCUAACUCCGUG
rnacentral:rRNA from 1 species